GGAUGGAUGCCCCAACGUUACAGAGGAACUUUGGGUGACUGUCCAGGCUUUAGAAAAUUUACGUGUUUACCUGUGUGAGAAAAUCAUAGCAGAGAGACAUUUUGAUCAUCUGCGUGCAAAGAAAA